UCAGUUAGCCAGCGGCUGCUAGGGACCAGGGACCGCAGCUGUGGCUGCAUCUCAGCGGCUUCACUCCUUUCUCUUGCAGAAUUCAACCAGGGGGAGAAGACAGGACUAGGCCACCUCAGGACCAGCAGACACUCGGACCGUGAGUGACAGACAGACAGACAGACAGGAAGGGUACUGGAUGACCACACAUCCUUUGCGAAAAUGGGUAUUUCCCUGGACUUCCGGGCUCCUGGCCCUCCACGGCACGGGGCAGGCAGAUUAAGCCUGACUGAGGACUAGGUGAAGCGUCAGGAUUUCCGGUUCUUUGUCCAGAUUAAAUGCCGUUGCGCAGAACGCACUGCUCUCGGCUGAAGUGGGGAGGCCGAUUCGAUUAGUAUAGACGCGGAAUAGGAGCAAUGGAGACAUGUCUGAAGAUGUGGGAAGGAAGAACUGGCUCACAUAAGUCCCCAUUACACCUUUAAGACAACCUCUGGGAAGAGACAAAGACCCUACAGAGAUGAGGGCCAACUGUGCAGCAGAAACAACCAGCAUUUGCCACAUCAGUUGAUUUUCACAUUAGUGCUGUGAAUCGAUUUUUUUUUGUCAGCAAAGCUGUGACCAUGGUAGCCAGGCAGGGCCACCAAAAUUGCUAGAGUAAUAUAAAUAAAACAUAGAAGUCAGGGGUUGU
ensembl:lincRNA Gm28516 predicted gene 28516